ACCUUGGUAGUGUAGUGGUACCACGCGUCCCCGGUAUGGAUGAAGCGCGGGUUCAACUCCCGUCUGAGGUC